rnacentral:rRNA from 1 species
UACGGAGGGUGCAAGCGUUAAUCGGAAUUACUGGGCGUAAAGCGUGCGCAGGCGGUCUUCCAAGUCAGUGGUGAAAGCCCGGAGCUCAACUCCGGAACUGCCAUUGAAACUGUUGGACUUGAGUACGAGAGAGGUGAGUGGAAUUCCCAGUGUAGAGGUGAAAUUCGUAGAUAUUGGGAAGAACACCGGUGGCGAAGGCGGCUCACUGGCUCGUAACUGACGCUCAGGCGCGACAGCGUGGGGAUCAAACAGG